rnacentral:lncRNA from 1 species
CCGCCGCCCAACGCAAGAAACUAGUCCUCAAGAGGCCCAAGAGGAAAGCUCCUCAAGUGAUCCACGAAGAGGAAGAGGAGGACGACGAGGCCACUGAAGACGGCCUUAUCACAAAGAGGAAGAGGGUGGAACCUUCUUCACCACCUGCACCACCCCCUCUUCCUACGUCAACGCCACCAUCCACGCCUGCCCCUCCUCCAUCAUCGCCACCACCACAAGCUCCUGUUUCACCAGUCCAAGCGAUCCCGC